CGCGGGGCAAGUCUGAGGAGCGCUGGGGACCCGCGAGCAACCACGCCGGAGGCGGCGAGCACAGUCGUAGGGACAGGCUCGGGGGAUGGAGACCUGGGGGCUCACUGGGGAAACGGGGACGAAAGGGCGACCCCGGGAGAAGGAGGGAAGACCCGCAAGUUACCGGGACGGCAGCGAGUUUAGGAGGGUCCGGACGUUUCCAGAAGAUCGUGUGCGCUCUGACCCUCUGUUGCUCAAGCAUCAAAUUGAAGGACGAGCCAUAUUAAGUGCCCCGAUGCAGGAGCUGCAGGCACUUUUCCAGAAGAAGGGAGGGCUCCAGCAGGCAAAUUACAGCACAUGAGGCAAGAAACCAGCACCACACGGUCACCAGGAUAAUGCCCAGUCUCCAAGGUCUUAUCUAUUCUUAUACCCUCUCUACAAGUGAAGCUACCUAUGUCAGACCCAAUGUACAAUGAAGUCCUACUAAGAUCAAGAUAAGAAAAUUGGAGGACAUCUGUAUGCUGAAAGGGAUGUGUGAACUUAAAUCGAGUCCUAUAUAUUAGGAACACUAGCACAGGACUUACUAUACAGUAAUAUUAACAUUUUCUAUUAUUAUUACUACUCUUAUGUUUAUUAAAUUCUUAUUAAGCAUUUUGCAUCCAAAAUAUCAAUCCUAGGAACAAUCUCCAUGGUAUAUGCUAUAAUCUCCCAUUUUACAUUCUUUAAGCAUAGUUAGGAAGAUUAAGCAAUGGCCCUGAGAUAAGUUGCAGAGAGAGAGCCCAUGCAAUUAACCAACCUGCUGAAAUGUGCCUCAAUAAAUAUCUGUUAAGUGAAUGAAUAAAUUUUGUAUCACAAUGUAUGACUAAUAAGCAAAGGAUAGUUAUAUUUUUAACAUAAGAUGAAAAUAUGCCAGUAACCCAGAAGCAUUUUUGAAAAUAACAGGAUUGCAGUAUACUCCAAAGGAAAAGCAUUCCUUAUGAGGCUGAAGCUCCAAGAGAAUCUAGCCAGGCCCCAUCCCUCCCACACUCAGAACACAGUAUGGGGACAUUGGAAGAUGUGGAGUGUUUUCAUCUCCCUUCAGUCUCUUGGCGCUCACAUGAACACCUACUCUAAUUUCCAGUUGGCAAAGAACAACACGGGACAUUUCUAUAGAAAAUGCUAAUGCUGUGUGACUUACCUCACCAGAGGAAUGCAAAUAGCUUUAGAAAUUUCUGCAGAAAUGCCACCUGUGCCAUAAUAUUAAAGGAACUUGCACGUCCAACUUCCCACGUAAAGGAACUGGGUCCUGGUGCAACACUUUUGGCAGUGGGGUCUACGUGGAAAUAACCAGAGGUGAGAAUUUAGGAUUAAGCGGUUGCUACUCUACCCACUAGCCACGCUCCUCUCCCACCCCCAGCGCUUU
rnacentral:lncRNA from 1 species